rnacentral:rRNA from 1 species
UACGUAGGGGGCUAGCGUUGCUCGGAAUCACUGGGCGUAAAGCGCACGUAGGCGGCUUUCUAAGUCAGGUGUGAAAUCCUGGAGCUCAACUCCAGAACUGCCUUUGAUACUGGAGAGCUUGAGUCCGGGAGAGGUGAGUGGAACUCCGAGUGUAGAGGUGAAAUUCGUAGAUAUUCGGAAGAACACCAGUGGCGAAGGCGGCUCACUGGCCCGGUACUGACGCUGAUGUGCGAAAGCGUGGGGAGCAAACAGG